CUACGGGAGGCAGCAGUGGGGAAUCUUAGACAAUGGGGGAAACCCUGAUCCAGCCAUUCCGCGUGCAGGACGAAGGCCUUCGGGUUGUAAACUGCUUUUGUACGGAACGAAAAGCCCUUCUCUAAUAAAGGGGGGUCAUGACGGUACCGUAAGAAUAAGCACCGGCUAACUACGUGCCAGCAGCCGCGGUAAUACGUAGGGUGCAAGCGUUAAUCGGAAUUACUGGGCGUAAAGCGUGCGCAGGCGGUUUUGUAAGACAGAGGUGAAAUCCCCGGGCUCAACCUGGGAACUGCCUUUGUGACUGCAAGGCUGGAGUGCGGCAGAGGGGGAUGGAAUUCCGCGUGUAGCAGUGAAAUGCGUAGAUAUGCGGAGGAACACCGAUGGCGAAGGCAAUCCCCUGGGCCUGCACUGACGCUCAUGCACGAAAGCGUGGGGAGCAAACAGGAUUAGAUACCCGUGUAGUCC
rnacentral:rRNA from 1 species